UCAGUUCUUUGCAUAAAUCCCACUGCAGUACUUUGGUCCUUUUCUCAGCAUAUGAGUCCAGAAAUAGAAUUUUCUGUAGAUGCAUAAUAAUAGUUUAAGCUUUUAAAGUUGAGAGUGAUGGCCCAUGCCUGCAAUCCCGGCAUGUUAGAAGGCUGAGGCAGGAGGAUAGCAAGGACAGCCUAGGUUACAUAGCAGUACCCACUCAAACAAAAAAGAAAUCAAAACAAAACAAAACAAAUAUUUAGCCCCCACACUGAAAAGUCAAGAGCUUGCACAGAGCACUCCCAACCUCUAUUCCUUUUGAUAAACAGGAAGACUUGGUAGUAUAGAAAGUGUCCUCCUCCACAGAUGAGCUGCAGCUCAAUCAGGGCUUCCCCCAUAUGUGGCAAUGCACAUGGUCUCACCCACCAGCAGUGACACCUCGACCCACCCACUGGCUUUUAGACAAUUCUCAUUGCUAGCGUGGAGUGCAGGAAUGAUAGGGCCUAGACGGUGCAUUUAGCAUGCUCAAGUAACCACUUCUCAUCAGCACUCACAAGCCCUGAGACGGUUCAAAGAUUCUUAACACACAUUCAGAGUUAGUAAUGAGCCACACUGAAGGUGGGCAGGUGAGCAGGAAGUUGUGUUAAGGAUUCCAGUCAAGACCUCAUCACUAACGAAGAAGAUGGGUGUGAUUUCAGUCAUCAACAGAAAGCAGAAUGGAAUCACAGAACAGGCACAGACAUGGAUCUUCUUGAGUCUGAGGUAGGCAAGCCCAGUGAACAGCCUAGCAACCUGGGACUCCUCUUGGCUUAGGCUAAGCACAUAACCCCCUUUGAAUAAUGCCUAUUGCAGCCCCAAACCCUUACCUGUAUAUACUAACUAAGCACAUGCACCGCCCCGCAGCUCAACAAGGCACUUAGAAACCUAGGCCCCCCCACCUACAUACAGCUGCGUGCACACUCUACUAACAACAAUAGAAUAUGUUUCCUCUCCCCUUAAAAACCAUCAAACUUCGAUUCUACUCAGUUCUUACAUUCUAUACUGUUCUUACAGCUUGGGUAUGAGAGUGGGAAGGCCAAUCCAGCUGAACUGGCUUCAGGUGCAUGCUCAAUGAGGCAAACUACAUGUGCUAAGUAACUUCUGAGAGAAACUCCCUAUUUACCACCUUAUGACUAUGCAUAAUUGGGCAUGCAUAUGGUUUAAGUCAGCUGCAUUGUGGGAAAGAAUAUGAGAAGUAGAGAAAAGUUAUAAACUUAAUCUGCCAAUCAAAAUAAGGAUCUACCCACAGUAUGUUCCUUAGCAGCUAAACUCCUCCUCCUCCUCUUGAACCUCAUAAAAGAGGCCCCAAACCACAGUCUGGGUCCCUGAGUACCUUCACUCAUGUCCACAGUCAAUCUUAGUGGUGUAUUCCUUUCUGAUCUUUGCUUUGAAUAAAGUAUCAUUGAUACUUUGUAAUCUGUGUGCACCUUUAUUUCAUCCUUGAAUAGGACACUAUGACUCUGGAAACACCUGGUCCAGACUCUGACCACCAUUAACAGGUCUACUACCUCUUUUGCAGCCCACAGAAUAGAUCCAGCCUGAAGCAGGUCUAGAUGGCAAUCCAUCCUUUCAGGAGUAAAAGCAUCAGAGAAAAGCCACAGUGGGGGAGUGACUCCCAGGAUGUUUUAUGCUAAAUGCAGGCAUUUCUAUGCUGGAACCCUAGCCACUGCCAGAGAGAUGGUUUCUCCCUCUAGCCAAAAUUAAGAAGAUGUGGGGGCUGGGGAAAAGGACAGAGCUAUAGUUUUCUGAGAAAAUGGAACAACUUCACCUCUACAUGUCUGGAGUGAGAUUCAGGGAAAAGCCCCUAGGGUAUGGUUUAGAAAAAAACAAGACAAAACAAAACAAAAAAGCAACCCCAAACUCUUGAUACUGCAGUUUCACAGAGUAGAUCAAUAUUUCAGCUUAAAUGAGAAUUUACUGCCUUCAGAAAUGCAGACGAAGCUGUGCUGUUUCAUCCUGCUCUCCACCCAGAGGCCACACAGUGUUCCUGUGUGCUGACACACCAGCCUGGCCAGCAGAGCAGGUAAUGUAACCCCAGGUAACUGAAGGAGUAGCACCUUGUGCGAGCAGAGCAUGUCUGCCUUCUCCCGCUGGGGACACCUGGCUCACUGCUGUCACAGAGAGCACUCUUUGAACAUGCCCUUCUUUCAUCCAGGCUAACAGACAUCACAUCUUCCCAUCUCCCUUUAUUGGCUGACUUCCUUCCUUUUCCCUAACUUCUCCCAUCCAGGCACACUCUGCACCACGGCCUCGCAAGCACGCACUGAAGCUAUAGACCUGUGGCACCAAACGAGACUGUCGGGAAGAUCAAACCCGGACCUCAGGACAGGAACAGGGCUGUGGUUCCCGCUCUGACAGCCGUCUCCGUUUUCCUGGAGGGAGCAUCCGCUCCCACAUCCUCCCCAGACUUCCAAGGCACACAUAAAAAUUCGAUCCCUGCUUUCUCUUUACUUUUAUCUCUGCUGUGUGCUCUGGGGAGUUUUUACAAAACAAACGAACAUGAACUUCAAGGUAUGAGGAGUGUAAAUCACUGCAAACUCUCCAGGCCUCCAAAUGCUACAAACACUGCUUAGCCAAGGACCAAAGAAAAGCCCGAAUUAAAACCAGCUAGGAUUCUACCAUAUAGCUCCACUAACUUUUGUUUGUUUGAGACAAGCCUUACGAUGGAGGCCAGGCAUCUCUGAACUUGAAGUGAUCCUCCUGCCUCUGCUGCUGAAUCUUCUGAAAUUACAGACCAUCAUUCCCAGCUAAAGGUGUUUUGUCUGACUGUUUCCUGCUGACUCGCUGCAGCAUCAAGCAUUAAACCUAGGGCUUGUCAUUAUUGAUCAGCAUUCUGCUACUGAGCUUAUAUAAUCCCAGAUCAUUUCUUCAUGCUAGUAUUUUUCAGGUCAGCGUUUGUCAAGGACAACCAAGCUGCACUUGGAAGUGACCGUCCAGCUUUCCAAGGUACAACCAUCAACACACCCACCCUUCUGCUCACCUUCACUGACUGUCCUUUUCAUAGCUACCAGAGGGAACCCUCUUUCCCUUGGGCAUGGUGAUAAGCCAAUAAGGAAUGUCAUUUUUCCAGAGCAUGCUCAAGGAUGUCAGGUGGCCUCUCUGGACCACAGCCUUCAGAACUACAGCUCAGUAACUAACCAGCACGGAUCUGCAAUUCUGGGCAGUCACUUCCACUGGCUUCCCGCCCUUGAUGAUCACUGAGGCAACAGAGAUUUCCACCUGUGCUUUGCCUUAUCAGCUCUUCUCAAUGUGCAUUCUCAAAGGGCACACCCAGCUCCUCUUCAUCCUCAUCUCCCGGAGACAACUUAAACAGUGACCACAAGCAUCUCCUAAGAGCCAGACAGACAAGAGACACCAGCUGCUUUCUUGAAGCUCUCUGUGAACUGGGGGUGGGGUGAGGUGUCAUGUGAUUCAGUGGGCACUGUUUGCAUGUAUCACCGGUGUGAUUGAGGGGUAAGUAACAACAUCUUGGAGCCACAGACUCCUGUUGAGAUGUGGAUUGUUGUGAGAUAAAGUACAGUGUCCAUGAAGUGACUGGAAUGUGUUGGCUGCUUGACGCAGUAAGAAACAGCAAGCCAGGGAAUCCUUGGAAGGAUCUGCUCUGUUCCCACAUUUAGCUUUAGUCAGGGGUGAAAGAUGAGGGUUGAUGGGUGGAAGGGGGCAGCAAACUGUGUGCCAAUAAUAUCAAAUAAACUGUUGAUCCCCAAGAAAUAAAAGGUAUGUGGAUGGGCAAU